UAAUACAUAAGAUAUUUAAUCUGCUGACUUGUGGGGUCAAUAAACCAUAAUGGUGUGUU
rnacentral:tRNA from 1 species